rnacentral:tRNA from 1 species
ACUGCUUUGGCAGAGUUAAAUGUGUUAGGGUUAGGUUCUAUAUAUGUAUUAAAAUAUACAAGCAGUA